AACAGUAAAACAAAACAAGCCCAACCAAGCAAAAAAAUGCGACAGAAAAUUCUUUAAGUAAUAUUACUUUCAGCAUCAAUAACAUGAUAAUCCUUACAAAUCAAAAUAUCCAAAUUCUAACACAAAAUAAAGCUAAAAAAUCCAAAAGUCGUGUCUUUUGAUGGCUGGAUCAUUCAACUUGCGUCUCUAUGAUUAUUGUGCUGAUAUUUCAUGUGGUUUUGUUCCUACAAAAAGACACAAAGGGAUUAGUGUUUUUUGUAUUAAAAUUUGAUUGUAUUCCCACACAAUAAAAAACCAACAGAUUGUAUUUUCAUAUAAUAAGAAGACUUCAAACCAAUACCUGUAACAUAUCAAAACAAGUAGCAUUAUGGUUUGUGACCUGAGAGUAAUAAGGAGCCUGCAAAGAAUAUAUAAUUAACCACUUAUGUUCAUUAUAAAAAUGUUAAAAUAAAAACAAAACAACACCGAAAUCAAUAUUUGUACCUUGUUUACUUGACCAAAAUGUUCUUGAUUUAGAUUGAAGGGAGCAAAAAUAUCCACAUUACCAUUUUCACUGCUACAAACAUAGUUCUGCUCUUGUUAUAGAUAUUAACAUACAAAACAUAGAUAACUAGUAUGCAAUAUCAUAUUGAAUUUUUCAAAUAACAAAAAGCCAAUCAAUUUUAAUUAAAUGAAAGUAAUGAAUCAGGUUUACUUGAAUACUAUCUUGUGUCCCAUUCCCAUCAAUAAUUUGAUAGCUAAGAUUCAUUGGUCUGUCUAUAUCUAUGUAAAUAUUUUAGUGUGAAUAUAGUCCAAAAUGGUUGAAUGGUUAUAUACUACUACUAUUUAUGUAGUUGAACAUAGUAGUGUGUGUGUCUAAUUUUAGUUUUUUCGGACUAAGAUUGCAUAGUAGAGUUUCUUAUAUUUGCACCUGAUUUGCAUGACUAGGAUAUGCUUUGUUUACUUGAAUGCUCUCUUGUGUACAUUGGCCCUGCCAAUCAGUGGAAGUUGUGAUGCUAAGCAGAAAAGAGAGGAAUAUAUCAAUUUUUUAUUCAAAAGCAAAACUACUGAAGCAAGCAAUGAGCCAUAAGCAAUUUUCUAUCAUGUAUACACAUAAGCCACAACUGCAACAUACGGGUGCUUUUAUAUUUUCAGUGAAGCAUUAAUCUUUGAAUUUUUCUAACUCAAUAUCAACACACAUGUACUUAAUAGCAUAAUUUUAUCCUCAACCCACAUGGUUAAACAUCGCUCAAGAAUCAUUGGGCACAAUUUCUUAACAUACCUGAUUCACAAAGGCGAGAGUACGGAAAGAGAAGACGAUGACGACGAUUCACAAAGACAAGAGCACGAAAACGAGGCGAC
rnacentral:lncRNA from 1 species